rnacentral:rRNA from 1 species
UACGAAGGGGGCUAGCGUUGUUCGGAUUUACUGGGCGUAAAGCGCAUGUAGGCGGGUCGUUAAGUUGGGGGGGAAAUCCCGAGGCUCAACCUCGGAACUGCCUUCAAAACUGGGGAUCUGGAGCUAGGGAGAGGCGAGGGGAAUUGCGAGUGUAGAGGUGAAAUUCGUAGAUAUUCGCAGGAGCACCAGUGGCGAAGGCGUCUCGCUGGCCCUGUGCUGACGCUGAGGUGCCAAAGCGUGGGGCGCAAACAGG